UACGUAGGGGGCAAGCGUUGUCCGGAAUCAUUGGGCGUAAAGAGCGUGUAGGCGGCCCGGUCAGUCCGCCGUGAAAGCCCAGGGCUCAACCCUGGGAUGCCGGUGGAAACUGCCGGGCUAGAGUCCGGAAGAGGCGAGUGGAAUUCCUGGUGUAGCGGUGAAAUGCGCAGAUAUCAGGAGGAACACCAAUGGCGAAGGCAGCUCGCUGGGACGGUACUGACGCUGAGACGCGAAAGCGUGGGGAGCAAACAGG
rnacentral:rRNA from 1 species